UGCAGUCGAGCGGACAGAUGGGAGCUUGCUCCCUGAUGUUAGCGGCGGACGGGUGAGUAACACGUGGGUAACCUGCCUGUAAGACUGGGAUAACUCCGGGAAACCGGGGCUAAUACCGGAUGGUUGUUUGAACCGCAUGGUUCAAACAUAAAAGGUGGCUUCGGCUACCACUUACAGAUGGACCCGCGGCGCAUUAGCUAGUUGGUGAGGUAACGGCUCACCAAGGCAACGAUGCGUAGCCGACCUGAGAGGGUGAUCGGCCACACUGGGACUGAGACACGGCCCAGACUCCUACGGGAGGCAGCAGUAGGGAAUCUUCCGCAAUGGACGAAAGUCUGACGGAGCAACGCCGCGUGAGUGAUGAAGGUUUUCGGAUCGUAAAGCUCUGUUGUUAGGGAAGAACAAGUACCGUUCGAAUAGGGCGGUACCUUGACGGUACCUAACCAGAAAGCCACGGCUAACUACGUGCCAGCAGCCGCGGUAAUACGUAGGUGGCAAGCGUUGUCCGGAAUUAUUGGGCGUAAAGGGCUCGCAGGCGGUUUCUUAAGUCUGAUGUGAAAGCCCCCGGCUCAACCGGGGAGGGUCAUUGGAAACUGGGGAACUUGAGUGCAGAAGAGGAGAGUGGAAUUCCACGUGUAGCGGUGAAAUGCGUAGAGAUGUGGAGGAACACCAGUGGCGAAGGCGACUCUCUGGUCUGUAACUGACGCUG
rnacentral:rRNA from 2 species